UAAACUUUUUAUUUGGAAUUUUUUCUAAUUGUUAAAUGGUGAGAUUAAGAUUUUUCUUUUCUUUUUUUGGCUGUUGCAAUUUUGCUAUAUAAUGUUAAAAUAAUGCAUUCUUUUAUAAAAAUUUUUACCUAUUUGUUUUUUUUUCUUUGAUUUUAAGUUUUGUGCCAUCAAUUGGCGAUCAGUUUAAGUGCAGACCGCGCUAAAUCCGCUGGCACGGUCAUGGCGUUCUGACCGUGACGAUGCUCAACUGUUGCAUUCUGUGAUUCCCAACAACGCGUUUCACCUUUUGUUUCCCGCCUCUCGCUCAACCGCCAGAUCUCUGGGAAAUAAUUCAAGCGCCACAAUAUACCACGUUCUCGAGAUUACCUCGUCUAAAAUAGCUGCUUGAUACCAUUUAGCGCGAGAUUCUCAGCGGGAUGCUAAUGAGCUCCAAUCUGGAGUAAUCCCAGACGACCAGCCGGUUUUGACAGCCAGCCCUGCGGCUCUGGGGCUCCGGGUGCGCGGCUGUCUCACGCUUCAGAACCGCACGGCCCCCGCCAGUCUGCGGCACCCAGGAAACGGCGCACAAUGGAACCAUCAAAAAGCUGCCAAGCCUUAUGGGAGCCAAGGGAAUCGGGAUGAUUUCUGUAGUCCCGAUGGGAAUCGGUUUCUCGUUCCGGCACUAUUCAUAUAAACGCGAUACAUCAUAAACAAACAAAGCUGAUAAAACCGGCCGAAGUUCCUUCACAGCUUCUCAGUGAUUUAACAGGAGCAAUCAAGCGCAGUCAAUUAAGCAGAAAGGCAAACAAAUUGGGUGAGAGCACAUCUUAUGCGAUGUCCUGCGGCAAUGGGGAGGCGGAGGAAGAGACAGAUUUCUCUGUUAAGUAAUACCGUCUCAGGGUGUAAAACUCCCCUCAGCACUGGCUAAAUUAAUUCGCUCGCACUAGCGGGGGACACAUCUAUUAUAGACGAGUAAAACGGGCAUUUCGAAACAAAUUAAUAGGCAAUCCGUGCCCACGCAUGCAACUCACAGUAAUUCUUCUAAAAUGACUUGAUUGCAUUGAAACAUUCCCAAAAAGCAGGUGAGCUGGUGGCCCUGCCGCCGGUGACAGCCCCACUAAUGACCCCUCUCUCGUGGGUGAGAGGGCUGUUGUAAGAAACCGUACACCCAUCGCAGAAAAACAGCUCUAAUUGGUCUAUUUAUAGUGGGACCUGGAGAAGCUCUCCUGAGGAUAACGUGGUAAGCUGCUGGAAUCCACUGAGGAAUAGAGUCUGAGGACUGAAAUGACAGCCUACACCGACUGCAGCACAAACAAACAAACACCAGUAAUUGUGCUUUAUCGCUAAUAUUAUUGAGAUAACUCUGAUUUAUGCUAAAUUAUGCGGCAGUCUCUCAGGAAAAAAUCUAUCGGCUCAUUUCUCUAAAAUCUUAUUGUGCAGUACAAAUUUUUACCAUCACCCAGAAUUUGUUCUGCAUUUUAUCUUUACAAAUUUACUUUAUUUGGUUCAACUUUACUUAAAGCAGUGGUUCACCAAAAAAUUUCAAUCAGAUGAAAAUGACUUCCCUUCAGGUCAUCCUGAGAUGGAGAUGAGUUUCUUCAUCUGAUUUGGAGAAAUGUAGCAUUGCAUCACUUGCUCACCAAUGGAUGCUCUGCAAUGAAUGGGUGCCGUCAGAAUAAGAGUCCAAACAGCUGAGAAAAACAUCACAAUAAUCCAGUCCACUCCAGUCCAUCAAUUAACAUUUUCACAAAGUGAAAAGCUGCAUGUUUGUAAGAAACAAGUCCUUUAAGAGAUUUUUAACCUACCUUAGUUUCCAGCAAAUACUUGAGUCCUUUAUCCAUAAUAUUGGUUCUCUGGUCUGAAUCAGGAGAGAAAUCUGCACAGAUCAAUCACUGUUUACAAGAUAAAAAACAACUCUAAACAAAUAUGUGGAUUAGAUGGGUGGAUUUUUUUGGUGAAGGACUUUCUCCACUGUAUCAUGGACUCACACUUUCAUAGUCGAAAGGAAAACUAAAAAUUCUGAGAGAAUUUCAGAUUAUGAUAUAUUUACAAUUGCGAGAAAAAAGUCAGUAAUUUGAGAUGAACUCAGAACUGUGAAGUCAGAAUUCUAAGAUAAAAGGUUGCGUCUCGCCAAUACCUUUUUAUUGCUGCAUUUUUAUUACUACUUGAUAUUUUUGUUGCUCCAUUUGUUACAUUGCGACUUCAAAUCAGGAUGAUAGGAAGAGGAAUUUAUCGUUGUACAUUAGGAUUAUAAAAACUUCAAACGUCAAGCCAUUUUUAAAGUCAGCUUUGAAACAUUGUCUUGAUAAACUUUGCUUUUCUUUGAAUUUCAGUUCAUUUAAAUUCUUCAUUACAUUCUAAUUGGAAUGCUGCUUCCUGUUUGCUCCCCCAGUUCAAAUUGAAGUACUCAAGCAUCAUAUACACAUUUGAUGUAAUGAUUGGAGUGUUAUUGAAAAAAUGAUCUGGCAUUAAAGGGCAGUUGAAUCAUGCAGUGUGGAGCGUCGUCACUCUCUGAUGAAACUGCUGUUCAAUAAUGCUGGUAUUUACAGCAGCGCUGAGACAGACAGUAAAGCAGCACAGAGAGUGUCAGGUGUUGCUCUGUGUCCAGCGCUCUAGGGCUCAGUGGCUCCAUUUCAUUAGCUGCUCGCCUCAAAGGAGGAUAGUACAUCGCCAGGUCUUUCAUUUAGAGUUUAGCCAAGGGCUGUGUGUGUGUGUGUGUGUGUGUGUGUGUGUGUGUGUGUGUGUGUGUGUGUGGAUUCCACUGCUGAAAUUCUAAGACACUGAAUCACCAAAACACUUCUGAAUUUGCCUCGAACAGGACAACCUGACAAGCUGCUGAAAAGACACUUUUCACCAUCCUGUCAAUUCCAUGAUCUAGUCUGGUCCGGUGGUCAGGUCGUGUGCUGGAGGAGUCAUGUGGUGUACCAUGGUGCAGAGGUGGUGUCAGAUGGACUUGGAGAUCUGACCUGAGGCGAGGACUGGUCUGAAAGGCAUUUAGAAGGGAGACAUGAGGAGAGAUGUGAACGAGGUGAAGAUAAGUGGCCCUGUUCAAGAGGGUCUACCUCAUACACUUGAGUUUGUGCUCUCAAUCACUGAAGACUCGGAUCAAUAGCACUGCGGAAGCGAGAGAAGAAGAACACCGACAGAAUCAGCAGAACGGGGUUUAACUCGCCCGGAGAGAGGCGAAAAACGUUAACGAUUAAAUGAGGUGCGAGAAGAUCUCCGUCUCAUUCAUCUCAAUGGCAGGGGUUUGGUUGGUGCAUGAAACCCUGGAAACAUGCAACACAGAUGCAGGAGCUUUGGACACAGACACUCAUCUACCACCAGGGGCCUAAAGAUACACUUACAUCACGUCUCACUGUCUUAUGCAAUGGAGUCUGGAGCUUCGCCAGCAUGCAGUGAACCAGAGAAGCGGAGAGAUGUCCCAGCGGCCCACAGCCCUGACAACACCCUUCUAUCCCCCUCUGAAAUCUUUAUUUACUGCCCCCGCACUCCUACUCCCUCGCCGGGGCAAUUAAAGCACCGCUGUGUCCGACGGGGAAAGGCUGAAAUGGAAAGGGAUACCUUGAAUGCAAUAUGACUCUUGGAAUCAGACAGCGGUUAAAGUUUCGCGCUGAAGACGUGCAGACGUGAUCGCCAGAAUGUCGCACCUGAUUCCUGAGCCCAGAGGAGAGUUUUAGCACUCAGAUGUUGCUCUUUUAAGGCUCCAGAGACUCCAAGGCGUCAUGAAAUUUACAUUAUUUACUUUUGCAAGGCAUGUCUGUGGUCUCAUCGUGCAUGAUUCAUCAGUACAUGCUGUUUGAAAGGACAAAGAGGUUUGUCACUCGUAAAUACGUCACAUUAUGGAUGCAAAGCGGUCGUGAAUGGCGUAUCAAAUGUUUCGUUGAAGUGUCAUUGAAGAAAUCAUAAUACGCACAGUACAAAUAGAGCUCAGCUUUGUUUGAGACAUUGCUUAAACUCUCUUCUCUUCUGGUUAUUUUAGGAUUUGAAUCUGAGGUCGUUUGUGAUUUUUCUUUAUUUGCAACAAAGCCCUUCCAAACUCAGUUGCUCACAGGUUGCUCGUUCACAGCUCAAAAACUUAAUGGAGAUCCUAGUUAUGCUUCGUGCAGGUUGCUCGUUCACAUCUCAAAAGACAUUUCUUGUCAUGGUUCAUAAAAGCCCUUCUGAACUGAAUGGCUCACAGGUUGCUCAUUCACAUCUCAAAAGACCGGAUGGAGAUCCUAGUUAUGUUUCAUGUACUGUAGAGCGCAGAGUUCCCAAGCUCACCAAAACCAUGACAUCCCUCUGAUCUCUGAACCAAUCUGAAAGCUGUUGGUCAUGCUUCUACAUUCACAACAUCGGGAUAAAGGCCUAAAUCUGAGAGAGUAUUUUCUGAGCUUAAAGGUGAUUUCAUGUUAAAAUGUUUGUCUGGAAACCUUUUUGAUAACAAUCAUUAUUGUUGCAAUUCCAUUUUACUAGGACACUAGGAGCACCCAAAUUACACACUUUUUCAACAGCCUUGAUCCUUGAAGUAUUUUUUUUAACUAUUUUUUCCAAAAUUCAAAAUAUAAAGUUUUUAUUUUAAAUGAUACAGUUAGUUAAGCAACAUCAUCACCCAACGUUUUCAGCAUAACGACUAAUAGUAAUAAUGUAAUAUAUUAAAGUAAUAAUAGUAAUAAUGUUUAAUAGUUCAAAAAGCAGUUCAGUAAGUAAGUACAAUAAUAUUAGGUCACUUAGCCUACAUGUUUAGGGUAAGUUACCCUGCAUUAUUUCAGCAGUGAAAAUAAUUUCUAAGAAAGCCAGCAGAAUGGCAGCCCAUCUCACAGCAACCAGCCGAUUCAUUGCUGAAUGAUUCAGUGUUUUGAACAAAUCGAUUGAGUCAAAGUUUCAGCCGAUGCAUAAACAUCUAUUGUAUCAGCCGCUUGAACGAAUCAUUUGGAUGAAUGACUCAAUGACUCAUUCAUUAGACACUUGUACUGUACUGGUGAAAAAAUUGUAAAACAUUAAACAAUCUC